rnacentral:lncRNA from 1 species
CCCUGGGAGGAGCAGAGCACAAACUGAAGUUACCUCAUCUCAGAAUAAAUAAAGAACAUGCAUUGAGGGGUUGCCCCGAGCAAAAGUGACAGUGUCUGCAGACUUUGGUCCAGUACCCAUAUCAUGAGCCUGGUGUCCCACUGCAAGUGUUCCUCAGAUGUCACCUGGAGCUUUGCAUGCUUCUCAAGUCCACAAGCCCUUCAGGUCCCUGUGCAGCUUUUCCAGCUGACAGCCAGGGAGGAGCUGCAUAGCAAGUUCAAUAGACAUCAGAUGUAAGGUAAUGCUGGAAAUUUUCUGGUGUUCUACAAAAUUCUGCAAGCUUCCCAAAGACAGCUGAAU